rfam:Cephalotus follicularis DNA, scaffold: scaffold61, isolate: St1.
CACAAGGCUGCCCUAGCAGCCACAACAGCUUCCUCUACAAAAAAACU